UGGGGAAUAUUGGACAAUGGGCGCAAGCCUGAUCCAGCCAUGCCGCGUGAGUGAUGAAGGCCCUAGGGUUGUAAAGCUCUUUCACCGGUGAAGAUAAUGACGGUAACCGGAGAAGAAGCCCCGGCUAACUUCGUGCCAGCAGCCGCGGUAAUACGAAGGGGGCUAGCGUUGUUCGGAUUUACUGGGCGUAAAGCGCACGUAGGCGGACUUUUAAGUCAGGGGUGAAAUCCCGGGGCUCAACCCCGGAACUGCCUUUGAUACUGGAAGUCUUGAGUAUGGUAGAGGUGAGUGGAAUUCCGAGUGUAGAGGUGAAAUUCGUAGAGAUUCGGAGGAACACCAGUGGCGAAGGCGGCGCACUGGACCAUUACUGACGCUGAGGUGCGAAAGCGUGGGGAGCAAACAGG
rnacentral:rRNA from 1 species